rnacentral:rRNA from 1 species
ACUGCCUGCCCAGUGACACCUGUUCAACGGCCGCGGUAUUAUGACCGUGCAAAGGUAGCGUAAUCACUUGUCUUUUAAAUAAAGACCUGUAUGAAUGGCAAAACGAAAACUCAACUGUCUCCUCAGACUAGUCAGUGAAAUUGAUGUCCCCGUGAAGAAGCAGGGAUAAAAAUAUAAGACGAGAAGACCCUAUGGAGCUUUAAACCAAGAUUAACCAUGAUUAACAACUUUUAAAAAUGGGAUUAAUCAUCAGGCUUUAGGUUGGGGCGACCACGGGGUAAAAAACAGCCCCCGAGAUAAAAAUUAAGAAGGACACUUCAAGAAAUAGUAAUAUUGAUAUAAUUGACCCACCAAGUGAUCAACGAACCAAGUUACCCUAGGGAUAACAGCGCAAUCCUUUCACAGAGUCCCUAUCGACGAACGGGUUUACGACCUCGAUGUUGGAUCAGGACCCCCAAAUGGUGCAAAAGCUAUUAAAGG